CAAUAGCGUAUAUUAAAGUUGCUGCGGUUCAAGAGCUCGUACUUAGAUUUCUGCCGAGGACGACCGGUCCGCCCUCUGGGUGCGUAUCUGGCUCGGCCUGGGCAUCUUCUUGGAGAAUGUAUCUGCGCUUGACUGUGUGGUGCGGUAUCCAGGACUUUUACUUUGAGGAAAUUAGAGUGCUUCAAGCAGGCACAAGCCUUGAAUACAUCAGCAUGGAAUAAUAAGAUAGGACCUCGGGUCUAUUUUGUUGGUCUCUAGAGCUGAGCUAAUGAUUAAUAAGGAUAGUUGGGGCAUUGCGUGUUAAUACUGUCAGAGGUGAAAUUCUUGGAUUUGUUAACGACGGACCACUGCGAAAGCAUUUGCCACGGAUGUAUUCAUUGAUCAACAACGACAGUUAGGGAUCGAAGACGAUCAGAUACCG
rnacentral:rRNA from 1 species